GAUGAAGAACGUAGCGAAAUGCGAUACUUGGUGUGAAUUGCAGAAUCCCGUGAACCAUCGAGUCUUUGAACGCAAGUUGCGCCCGAAGCCAUCAGGUUGAGGGCACGUCUGCCUGGGCGUCACAUAUCAUUGCCCAAUGCCUAUUGCAGUGCAAUAGGAAUUUCUAGGGCGAAUGAUGGCUUCCCGUGAGCGUUGUUGCCUCGCGGUUGGUUGAAAAUCGAGUCCUUGGUAGGGUGUGCCAUGGUAGAUGGUGGUCGAGUUAGAACGAUACCGAUCAUGUGCAUGCUCCCCAAAAUAUGGCCUCUAUGACCCACACGCGUCUUUUGACGCUCAUGACGAGACCUCAGGUCAGGCGGGGCUACCCGCUGAGUUUAAGCAUAUCAAUAAGCGGAGGA
rnacentral:misc_RNA from 1 species